rnacentral:rRNA from 1 species
CCAGCUAAAACUAAAGCUCCAGGAACUCAAGCUUGAGAUCGAGGAAGACUCACUGAUCGAAGUCCUCAUUAAAAAGCUUGAAAGGGAAAUUGACUUGGAAAACAAAAAAGGAAAGGAGGUGGAAUAAAAAAACGAAAAGAAAAAAAGUAAACAUGCGGAGGUAUCUUCCUUAACGGGGGAUACCUCUUUUUUAUUUCCGAAGAAUCCGAAACUGAAAAGAAAACGAAAAGACAAAAAGAAAGUGAAAACUGAAAACGAAAAAAGAAAAAGAGAAGAAGAUCAAAAGAAAAAAACGAAAAAGAAGAAAAACCAAAAAAAACAAGAAAGACGAAAAAAACGAAAAAGUAGAAAAAGUAAAAAAGAAUACGAAAGACGAAAAAAAACAAGGUAAAAAGGGAACAAGAAACCAAAGGUUAGCACCUUGAACCGCGAAAGGACAGAGCACACCACGCCACCUAACGGUGGUUAUGGGUGCGCCUAAAAAAUGAAACAAACGUCAAAAGAGUUACCAAUCCAAAAAAAC